CACGGACAUGGAGGGCAAACGAGUUGUUGCCUGGGACGGAGACCGGAGGGGAGUGACUGAUUAAUUAGAGGCCAUGAGGGAGGGGAGAGGCCACUGGACCUCACACCAUGAUUGCGGUGUUGGGUACACGUCUAUAUACAUUUGUCAAAACAUGCUGAACUAUAAACUUUAAGCUGGUGAAUUGUAUUGCAUGAAAAUACACCUCAGUGAAGGAGCAAAAAAGAUUCCCACAAGUAGGCUAACUGCUUGUCUCCUCCGCCCUCAGCACGCAUACAUUUGUGGUCCUUUACUAGCAUUUUAUUUUAAAGUUCUAGUCUGGUGUGAUGGCACAUGCCUGAAAUCCCAGCUCUCCAGGAAACUGAGGCAGGAGGAUCACAAGUCUGAACACAGCCUGCGUAUCUGAGUGCCUUAGAGAGACUCAGUCUCCAAAAAUAAAAAGGCCUGGGGAUGCCCCACUAGGCCGCUGGGGAUAGAAUCCAGGCCUUUGCACACGUGCAGUAUCACUGAGUUACAGCCGGCCCUCUGUCAUGCUGUUUGUUCAAAGUGUUAUUGUAGCUGAGCGGGGAAAGAUGGGAAUUUGAUCUUUAGAACUGUCUUCUAGGAACCCGAGAGGCAACAGAAGUUAGAUGCUUGCAUGGAAGGUAUAAAAAGGGAGAAAGGAUGAGGGGGACAGGGUAGGGUGCACCUGCGCAGGCUGCACAGGGCCUUGGCUUUGACCACUAGCACUGAAAACACGGAAGGGAAGCCAGACGUGAGCAUUGUGCUUCCUGGAGGAGGCCCAUAACCACCUGCUAGUCAGUCAGCAAGCACUGCAAGUACAAGCACAUUAUGUUUUCCAGAGAACAACCCAAACAAGGACCCAAGGCCAUCAGAUGUCUAAAGAGGAGUGUCCAGGAGUCCAGGCUGGGUUUAGGACCCGGUCACGAGCCCGAAUGGCAUGUUCUUCUCUUUAGAUGACCUCUUCGGGGAGAACCAGGACAGGGAGUGUGUCUGGGGCCGUCAGUGAGAUUGUUUUCCAGCCUGAUGUCUAUGUGUAAUGAGGUAGUAACUGCAAUACUUGAAAACUGCCUAAGUCCCGGCUCCACACUGAGUGCAGCCUGAGCCGCAUUCCUUAGAGCAGCAGAGCUGGAAUAGGGAUUGGGAGGUGUGUCAGAUAGAGUGACUUCUGCUCAGUCUGCCUCUUGAUACAAGGCUGUUGGACUUUGCCCGGAAACUUGUGUUAAAUCAAGUUUGUAUGGUGCAGUGCUGGGCCUGGGGUUGGGUCUGGGCAGGGGGCUCUUGAGGCCCUGGGUCGGGUCUCUAGCACCCUGGGGCGGUUCACUGCGAGCUCUAGCACCGACACCGAACUUGGCCUUGCUCUCUCCCACCUCGGGCCAGAUGUCACGGCGAGCCCACCAUGAUGUCAUCCUCACCGCCACUGCAGGGAAGAAACCCCUCCUAGUCACCCGCACAGAAACGAGAGGGGAGAAAAUCACAUCUCUCCUUCCCUCGCCCUCUCAAAUGCCACUUAUGGCAGGAACUUCUCCAGGUCUCGGUGCAACUUUCCCAGAGAGCCACUGGGGGAGGGGUGGGCAGCGGUGUCCUGAUCUGCUGUCCUGGGUUGCUGGGUCACUGGGCUCCGGCUGCCUCCUGCAGACUGAACCGCCCCUGAGUCUUGUACCCCACACUCACGGGCUCCCGCCUUCUCUCCUGGAAUAGCACACAGGUGGCUGCUAAGCACAGGAAGAGAUGGUCAGCAGCACUGACCGUCAGGAAGUGCAAAUGGAACCCACAGUGAGCUGUCUUCACCUCCACAAGGGUGGCUAAAAGCAGAAAAAACAGUCAUGAACGUUCUUGAG